AGAUCAGUGUUCUUCUCUGCCAUCUACAGACAGUGGAAGGGAGUGCCAGACUGCCAGAUGAGGAUCUGAAAAGAUGCAGAUUGCACUGUCUUUUCUGUCAUCGAGCUCCAGGUAACCUUGGAUGGAAGUUUCUGAGGCAUUAUGAUGAACACAAACAAGAGGGGAGCAGUGUAAACAGGUCUCGCUCUACCUACGCAAACGGAGAGAAAGAGCCCCGGGGUGGAGCAGAGACGACGGGCUCCAUCUGGUGCCUGGGCAGCCAAUGAAAAGAAUAGAGUACUGGGGGAGCCAGGAAGAAGGGGAACAUCAUGAAAAGCUCCAAUUGGAUUUGUCGUCCAGUUCAUUGGCACCGGCUGCAAGGUGGCUAACGAGGUGGGGAGUGGAGUGGAUCCACACUGUCUGUGGACACACACGUGCACACUAAAGGAUCCUCGAACUUGAAAGUAACAGAUGUGCCAACACAGAUCCUACAUGUGGAGGAAUCCCAC